ACAGAGGUGUCCACUGGGAGGAGGGAGCAGGCCGGACGUCUGCCCCGUCCCCGGUGGGUGCGGGGGCGUCAGGUGGGCAAAACCCCAGCGAGGGGAAGCUCCAGGAUCGUUGCAGUGCCAUUUCUAGGUCCCUCCUCCUCUCCCCACUUCCCUUUUCUCUGCACCCAUUUGACAGGAGCCUCUGCAAUCAUCUGCUUAUUGCGCGUCACCGUCAUCCAGUGGGAGAGCCUUGUGGUACCACCUUUCUCCACCUAUGGCUGCGGCCCGCAGGAAGAUGACGGGUUGCGCUUCUGCUCUGGAGCCAGCCCUGUUGCCGGGAACUGCAACCCGCAAGAUGAUGCCAGAGCUCAGCUUCCCUCUUUUUAUGUUGCAGAGUUUAUGCUGCCCUGCACUGAGCAGACGCUUUCGCUUACGCAGCCCUGCCCUUCACCUUGCCCAGUGAUUCCGGAAUAACCUUCCGGACCCUCCUACUUGCAGAGGUUCGUUGCUUCAAGCGUCAUAAUCAUUCAUCUCCGUUUUUCCUCUAGUGAUGAAGGCUCGUGGACGGACCACGGUUCACUCGGUCUAGGAGUCACGCUGUUGAUCAGGUUGUCAGACAUCAAAAUUCCCAUCUCCCAUCAGGGCACAGCUAUAGGGCUCUGGGUCAAAACAGGGCCUUCUCUUUUGUCUGGUAG
rnacentral:lncRNA from 1 species